UAAAGGUAAAGUUAGUAGGAAUCUAAUUUUCUUGGGAAAAUAAUAACUUUAUGUUGUUUGGAUAUUUAUUCUAAGGUGGAAAAAUAUGGGUCCAGAAAAUUAGAUUCCCAUUAACGUAGGAAAAUAUGUGGGAAAGUUAUUCCCAUCUAUAUAGGUGUUUUUUGGAGAAUCUCAGAGAAAAUAGUUUUGAAAUUUUUUUAAAAUACAUAUUUACCCUUAAUUUAUUAUACAAUCUUAAAUUUAAUUAUUUAUAAAUCCCAACUUUCCUAUUGCUCACCAAACAAACCAAGAGAAAAAUUAAUUCUUAGGAAAUUAAAUUCUAGAAAACUAAAUCCCAAGAAUCAUUUUCCUUCUCAACUUUGACAUUUUCCAAACGGAUCCUCAAAUUAAAAUUGAAUUCUCCUUUGGUAGAGUUCAAUUUGAAAUUGAAUUCUCUUAAAGUGAUGGAGUUCAAAUUGAAUUUGUCCUCUAUCAUGAUAGCUUUCGUUGCUUGGCUUCCACUUUAGGAGAAAUUUUUCUGUGCAUAAUGUGUACCAAGGUGGAAUCCUUAUCGAUACACAUGACCAAUAAAAAAAUAUCAUAUAUAACAUAGUCAUUUAAAAAACCCACUUCACCUUUUUUAUAUUGCUAACCCCGUUAACCAUCCGUUAUCCCUUUUCUCCUUUUUUUUUUAAAUUUUUUAUUUCUUUUUGCUCCUCUUCCACCUUCAUUUAGCUCCACGCCGUCUUUUCUGCUCAAAAAAAUAGAAAUCCUCUGUCCUCUGUUCUCAGAUCUUCACGUUAUUCCCUCCAUAUUUGAUCUUUUCUCGUCCACACCAAUCACUAGAUCUACAUCAUCCUAGGCGAAGUCUUAAUUUCCUCUACUUAGGGUUUUCAAUUUCUGCCCCUUUUUCAUUGAUAUUCCAAUCUCUCUGUCAACAUAUAGAAAUCCUAUAUUAUGGUAUCGUUUUCAAGUUCUACGUUCUACAUUCUCAAAGGCGACUUUGAUGCCGUGCCCACCAUGGCCGAAGAAAGCAAGAACCCCGCCCGCAACAUACCGUCGGCCUUGUGGGCUCCAUGACCCUCACCACCCUCCUCUACUGCCUUCUCGUAUCACCCUCUGCCUCAUGCAGCCCUUCCACCAGAUCGAGGCCAAAUCAGUUUCAGAGACAUCAGUGUAUUCUUCCUCUACAGCUUCUUGGAAAACCAUUAGCAAAAAAUUCCUAAACAUUUGAACAUGCACAAGUUUGAUUUCUAAACCCACCUUGUGAAGCUCAAGCACUACUCUUGUUGAAGCAUGUCGCUGCCAAAAAGUUUCCUCCGAGUGGUAAGCCAAAGUCUUUUAAUCUGCUAGAUGCUGCCCAAUCAUGUUGUUCUUGUUAGGAAUUCUAGGUGUACAAUUUUAGAGUCUUUGUAAUGGAUUUUUUUAGUGGCUAUCUUUCUAAUGAAAUGUUACAAAAAGAUGAAAAAUUUGGUAUAUUGGUUCCUGAUUUUGAAACUUUAGUAUAUGUUUUUGAGUCGUUUGAGGACUUUUAGUGGAUGUUUAGAAUGAAAUGUUUUACAAAGAAUGAAAACCAGACCUAUUGUGCUCUGUUUUUUAAUUAUGAA